rnacentral:misc_RNA from 1 species
AAGUUGUAACAAGGUUUCUGUAGGUAAACCUGCGGAAGGAUUAUUACCUUUCUGGCUAUUUAAUAGCUUGUCUAGGGGCUGUAGUUUCUGCAGUCCUUAACUACAUCCGUGUUUUUUGCGUACUACAUGUUUCCUUGGCGGGCUUGCUCGCUGGUUAGACAAACUAAAACUCUUUGCAAUUGUAAUUAGCGUCUGAAUUAUAUAAUAAUUACAA